rnacentral:rRNA from 1 species
AAGCAAUGGCCUCCUGAACGUGCGUUGCACCCUUGGGAUUUCCUGAGAGUAUGUCUGCUUCAGUACUUAACUUGCCCCAA